rnacentral:rRNA from 1 species
UACGGAGGGGGCUAGCGUUGUUCGGAAUUACUGGGCGUAAAGCGUACGUAGGCGGCCAUUCAAGUCAGAGGUGAAAGCCCGGGGCUCAACUCCGGAACUGCCUUUGAAACUAGGUGGCUUGAACACGGGAGAGGUGAGUGGAAUUCCGAGUGUAGAGGUGAAAUUCGUAGAUAUUCGGAAGAACACCAGUGGCGAAGGCGGCUCACUGGACCGUUGUUGACGCUGAGGUACGAAAGCGUGGGGAGCAAACAGGAUUAGAUACCCC